CCUACGGGUGACAGCAGUGGGGAAUAUUGCACAAUGGGGGAAACCCUGAUGCAGCGACGCCGCGUGAGUGAAGAAGUAUUUCGGUACGUAAAGCUCUAUCAGCAGGGAAGAAAAUGACGGUACCUGACUAAGAAUCCCCGGCUAACUACGUGCCAGCAGCCGCGGUAAUACGUAGGGGGCAAGCGUUAUCCGGAUUUACUGGGUGUAAAGGGAGCGUAGACGGCAGCGCAAGUCUGGAGUGAAAUCCCAUGGCUUAACCAUGGAACUGCUUUGGAAACUGUGCAGCUAGAGUGCAGGAGAGGUAAGCGGAAUUCCUAGUGUAGCGGUGAAAUGCGUAGAUAUUAGGAAGAACACCAGUGGCGAAGGCGGCUUACUGGACUGUAACUGACGUUGAGGCUCGAAGGCGUGGGGAGCAAACAGGAUUAGAUACCCUAGUAGUC
rnacentral:rRNA from 1 species